GACGAACGCUGGCGGCGUGCUUAACACAUGCAAGUCGAACGGAAAGGCCCUGCUUUUGUGGGGUGCUCGAGUGGCGAACGGGUGAGUAACACGUGAGUAACCUGCCCUUGACUUUGGGAUAACUUCAGGAAACUGGGGCUAAUACCGGAUAGGAGCUCCUGCUGCAUGGUGGGGGUUGGAAAGUUUCGGCGGUUGGGGAUGGACUCGCGGCUUAUCAGCUUGUUGGUGGGGUAGUGGCUUACCAAGGCUUUGACGGGUAGCCGGCCUGAGAGGGUGACCGGCCACAUUGGGACUGAGAUACGGCCCAGACCCCUACGGGAGGCAGCAGUGGGGAAUAUUACGCAAUGGGCGGAAGCCUGAUGCAGCAACGCCGCGUGCGGGAUGACGGCCUUCGGGUUGUAAACCGCUUUCGCCUGUGACGAAGCGUGAGUGACGGUAAUGGGUAAAGAAGCACCGGCUAACUACGUG
rnacentral:rRNA from 1 species